GAUGAACGCUAGCUACAGGCUUAACACAUGCAAGUCGAGGGGCAGCAUGGUCUUAGCUUGCUAAGGCCGAUGGCGACCGGCGCACGGGUGAGUAACACGUAUCCAACCUGCCGUCUACUCUUGGACAGCCUUCUGAAAGGAAGAUUAAUACAAGAUGGCAUCAUGAGUUCACAUGUUCACAUGAUUAAAGGUAUUCCGGUAGACGAUGGGGAUGCGUUCCAUUAGAUAGUAGGCGGGGUAACGGCCCACCUAGUCUUCGAUGGAUAGGGGUUCUGAGAGGCAGGUCCCCCACAUUGGAACUGCGACACGGUCCACACUCCUACGGGAGGCAGCAGUGAGGAAUAUUGGUCAAUGGGCGCGAGCCUGAACCAGCCAAGUAGCGUGAAGGAUGCCUGCCCUAUGGGUUGUAAACUUCUUUUAUAAAGGAAUAAAGUCGGGUAUGUAUACCCGUUUGCCUGUACUUUAUGAAUAAGGAUCGGCUAACUCCGUG
rnacentral:rRNA from 1 species